rnacentral:rRNA from 1 species
AACACCUACGGGACGCAGCAGUAGGGAAUCUUCCGCAAUGGGCGAAAGCCUGACGGAGCAACGCCGCGUGAGGGAUGAAGGUCUUCGGAUCGUAAAACUCUGUUAUUAGGGAAGAACAAAUGUGUAAGUAACUGUGCACGUCUUGACGGUACCUAAUCAGAAAGCCACGGCUAACUACGUGCCAGCAGCCGCGGUAAUACGUAGGUGGCAAGCGUUAUCCGGAAUUAUUGGGCGUAAAGCGCGCGUAGGCGGUUUCUUAAGUCUGAUGUGAAAGCCCACGGCUCAACCGUGGAGGGUCAUUGGAA